AGGAAGUGAUCUCUUCAAAGAGCAGCCAAAGGGAACCUACUCCCUUCUGCCUUUUCGGAAUCAACUAACCAAUAUUUUAUUUCCUUCUUAAGAGUCCCCACAUGUUCCUUUUGGUACUUAGCUUGGCCUUUUAGAAUUCUGACAUUCUGUGCGUGACUCAUCCACUGUAUUUCACGUUAAUUUAUUGAGGUCAAGUAUAGGGUCUUACUCAUCCUGAAGUCCAGUUAUCCCCUGUCACAUCUAACUCUGUUCUUUUCUUCUUGUAGGACAUCUGCAGGUAUUUAUUUGAAUUUUGUUGAAUUGUUCUCAUCAAUAUGAGAAGAGAGCAGGCUGAAUGGAAGAAAGUCAUUAUGACCACUGGGGCCGCUAGGGGGUGUCCAGAGAAGGUAACUACUUUGCCCACGUCCUAAACUGGUAAGUAACAGAUUAAGAAUUCAAGUCUAGGAAGUCUGAUUCCAGAGCCCACACCUCUACCCUUUCUGCAUGUAGAGAGGAAUAAAGGGUUGUCAGUGAAGCCUUCCUGGGGGCCCUGGCCUCUGAGUGUAGAUAGAAGGAUGAGUGGACAUAAAGAUCAUUAUUUGUGUGUGGUGGGGGUAGGGGAGGAAGUACGAGGGCUUCCAGAAGAGCCCGCCCUCCCCAUACAUCUGCUAUAAGCAAGUCUGAUGAUCAGGAGUCCGGAACAUGAGUAUGACUAUGGGAUACUGAGAAGGGUUCUAGAACCCUGAGGUUAGAGUUCUGGAUCAGUUAGUAGGUAACAGAAAGUGAAUGAGUGAUUUACCUUACUUUCCACGGGUAGCAGGAAGUUUGGAGAUAGUCCCUCUAGCGUUAGUCCAGCUGCUGAAGGGCAUCACCAGGGGACUGGGUUGCUUCGCUCUUCCAGCUUCCACAUCUCUAGCAUGUCCGCAUAGCUUCAAAGUGACCCCAGAAUCUCCAAUAGUGUUCCAACAAUUUGGGCAGGAAGAAAGAAAAGGAAAAAAAACAGAAAUUAAGUAAGAAAAAAAAGGCAGUGUCUAACUCAGAGAGCAAAUUUUUUACCACAGAUGGUCAGCAGACUUGCACUUAGAUCUCAUCAGCUCGGAUUUUAAACUGGCCACCUUAGCCUUAAGGAUAAUGGGGUCUCCUAAACCAGGGCUCUGAUAGUAAGGAAUAAGGAGAGAGUGGUCCUGAUUAGCAGUGCCUGCUGUCCCAAACAAAUAUUACCCCCAAACUAUUUUUUUUAUCCUAUAUUUUACUUUAAAGAAUGGAGGGGAAACAUUAUGUAUCUGUAAAUAGCCUUUUAGAAAGGGUACAAUUAUAUAGUUAUACAACCCUCUGGAGGGCUCCUUUCUUCUGAAAUCUCUUUAAAAACUGUUCAAGGUUAAGGACAUUUUUAUCUUAAUUUAGUAACUUGCAGUCGAUUAUCUUGGAAUGACAUCCUCUCUCUGCAGAUGUUCUGUCAGGCUUUAGAAAAUUCUAGAAGUGGACAGAGAAGUGUUAUGGUACAUGUAUUUGCAAUAUGCACGUCUUUGAAAUGAAAUCCAUUUAGGGACCAAAAGGCAUUUCAUGUCUUUGCUAUACAUUUUCACAUAUUUGCCUUUCCAGAAUUCCUUUGAGCAAAUCUGUUAGAUGUAACCCAUCCAUUUCUCCCAUCUGAAUUCUUUAUUACUAAACAUUCUUCAGUAUGCUCUCACUCCCCUCUGUCAAAGGCGUUUCUCUGGGUCCUCACCCUUCUCAUCUCAUAUGUGAAUGCGUAUCUUAAACUGAAGCAACAGUCUGCUAUGACUUCUCCAUCACUUGAAGAACCCGUCUUUGUGGGAAAAAAAGUAGACUUACUAACUUAGAAGGUAAAAUGCGCGCAAUGUUUCUGAGAAUUAAAAACUAAGAUAAAAACAUAAGCAAUGGAAAAAACUUACAGUGGAUCCUUUUCAAAGACUUUAUUUUACAGAGAAGGCAACUGAGGUUUAA